GUUCUGCAGAUGCAGUUGGUGAAAAGGCUCACAGUGGCCCUGAGGUUAAGAAUCGUUGUCUUUUUAAACACCAUUCUGACUAGGCCAUCCUAUCAAAACCCUGCUUGAUCUCAUGCCAGGAGAACUGAAGAUAGCAUUCGCUGAUCUGUACCAGGUGCAGGGCUGGAAGCUGUUCUGCACAGGUGCCCUGGAUCUCUGUGAUUGACAGGUCGCGCCCACUUGCUGAGCUAUUUUGCCACAACCUGAUCUCCUGCCUCACUAGGAUUCAUGCGUGCAGCUUUUACAGGGGGUCCAAGCAGCAGCACAGUCUUCUCUCUGGUGACUGCAGAUCACUAGAGCUUUCUAUGGACUCUGGUUUCUUCAGCUCCUUCCUGCCGGUCUUUAUGUCUUCUGUCCUACCUCGACCUCAAACUUCUGAGGCGUCAGGAGAAGUUUUUCCUCUGCUCUACGACACAGCGCAUCCUGAACAAGGAGCCAAGGAGCCAGGCCCAGGAGCUCCCCAGUCUAGAGGCCAGUGUGGGUAUCAUUAGCACAGCAUUGCACCAUUCUGUGGAAAGAAGGAGUGUGUAACAACUCCCGAGCCCAGAGUCUGGACUCCUUUCACGGCUGCUGAGUUAAGAAGCUAAGAAGAGUGAACUUCAGGCCUUGCCCACCAGCUCUUCUCCAAGUGGCUGCCAGUACCUCUCCAUUCCGCAUGGAAGGCUGAGAGGUGCGAGCUGCAAGUCCAGCGUCCUGUGGCCUGAAUACUGAAGCCACACCUCCCGCUUAUUCAAAAGCUGGUUUUUCAUAGUGGUCAGAUUGACUUUUACAAAUUCAGUUAAUAAACUUUAAAAAUGCACCGUCAUCUUAAACUGACUGACUUGGCCCCCUCGUAUUGGCGUUUAUUAUUCCAUUCCUCAGAAUGUGUUGAAAGAAGGCAAUGUUAAGUUGAAGGCAAUGAUAGUUAAAUGAGACUUCCUGCAGCCUUUUCGUGUAGAAAAAAAACCACUUUUUCGGGACACUGCUUAAUUGACAGGUUUUUUGUUUUGUCUUGUGUUGUUUUGCGGUGCUGAGGCUGGAACUUGGAUCCUUGUGCUUGUAAAGCAGGCUGCGGCACCACUGAGCUAAAUCCCCAGC
rnacentral:lncRNA from 1 species